rnacentral:rRNA from 1 species
UUCCGAUUCGUCGGGAGAGUAAAGUGGCGAAUGGGUGAGUAAUGUGAGGGUAAUUUACCCUUGAAUUAGGGAUAACCUUGCGAAAGCGAAGCUAAUACCUAAUAAGACUACAGUUUCUUAGGAGACAGUAGGAAAAGAUGGCCUCUGUUUCAAGCUAUCGUUUAAGGAUGAGCCCUUUUACUAUUAGCUAGUUGGUGAGGUAAUGGCUCACCAAGGCGAAGAUGGUUAGCUGGUCUGAGAGGAUGAUCAGCCACACUGGAACUGAGACACGGUCCAGACUCCUACGGGAGGCAGCAGUGAGGAAUAUUGCGCAAUGGGGGAAACCCUGACGCAGUGACGCCGCGUGAGUGAUGAAGGCUUUCGAGUCGUAAAGCUCUGUGAGGUGGAAAGAAAUGUUUAGGUGCUAAUACCGCCUAAAUUUGACGGUACCACCAGAGGAAGCACCGGCUAACUCCGUGCCAGCAGCCGCGGUAAUACGGAGGGUGCAAGCGUUGUUCGGAAUUACUGGGCGUAAAGGGCGUGUAGGCGGUUGAGCAAGUCAGGUGUGAAAUCCCUUAGCUUAACUAAGGAAGUGCAUUUGAAACUGCUUGACUAGAGUACA